UCAGUCCUUUACUGAGAAUGCCAAACUGGCCAAUGGGCCGUGGGCGACGCUAUAUAACUCGUUUCCUAUCAUCCGACGCCUCCCACUGCCCUUCAGAAAGGCCUUUCAGAAUGCUCAGAUUGUUACGGAUCUUUUAAAGGAGUUGUUAACGGAGCACAAAAAGACGAGAGUCCCCGGAGAGCCACGAGACUUUCUCGACUGUUACCUGGAUGAGCUGGAU